CCUACGGGAGGCAGCAGUGGGGAAUAUUGGGCAAUGGGCGCAAGCCUGACCCAGCAACGCCGCGUGAAGGAAGAAGGCUCUCGGGUUGUAAACUUCUUUUAUCAGGGACGAAGCAAGUGACGGUACCUGGGGAGGAAGCUCCGGCUAACUACGUGCCAGCAGCCGCGGUAAUACGUAGGGAGCGAGCGUUGUCCGGAAUUACUGGGUGUAAAGGGAGCGUAGGCGGGGAUGCAAGUUGGGUGUUAAAUCUACCGGCUCAACUGGUAGUCGCACUCAAAACUGCAGCUCUUGAGUGAAGUAGAGGCAGGCGGAAUUCCUAGUGUAGCGGUGAAAUGCGUAGAUAUUAGGAGGAACACCAGUGGCGAAGGCGGCCUGCUGGGCUUUUACUGACGCUGAGGCUCGAAAGUGUGGGGAGCAAACAGGAUUAGAUACCCUUGUAGUC
rnacentral:rRNA from 1 species